UACGUAGGGGGCAAGCGUUAAUCGGAAUUACUGGGCGUAAAGCGUGCGCAGGCGGUUUUGUAAGUCUGUCGUGAAAUCCCCGGGCUCAACCUGGGAAUUGCGAUGGAGACUGCAAGGCUAGAAUCUGGCAGAGGGGGGUAGAAUUCCACGUGUAGCAGUGAAAUGCGUAGAGAUGUGGAGGAACACCGAUGGCGAAGGCAGCCCCCUGGGUCAAGAUUGACGCUCAUGCACGAAAGCGUGGGGAGCAAACAGG
rnacentral:rRNA from 1 species